AAGACAACUAUGUGAAAACGACAUAUGCUACCUACAACAUGUGUGUGUGUUUGGGGCAUGUCUAGUGCUCCAGUGUUAGGGGCAGGUCUAGUGCACUAUUGGGGCACAGUGUACUCACCCUGUUGAAGUCAUGGACGAUGUCAGCGGGGUCACUGUUGCUGAACUCGGGCACAGGCACAUUGAUGAACUCCACCUCGGCGUCCUCCAGGAUGCGCACGGACUCCUGGAUACGGCGCAGCGGAGCGGGCAGGUCCUCGGGUACCAUCACCUCCUCCUCCGGGAUCAUGUAGUCUUCCUCCAUGUAGUCCACACCGCAGAAGUACACAGGACCCUCCUGUAACAGGGAGGGAUAGAGAGAGACAAAGAGAAAAAAAAAAAAAAAAUGACAGAAAGAAA